rnacentral:misc_RNA from 1 species
GUGAAUCAUCGAAUUUUUGAACGCAAAUUGCACUCUCUUCGGUGAGGAGGCGUGUUUGAGGGUCAGUAUUAAUAAAAAUCGGUGUGUUGCUUCUUUGUGACGCUCCGGAGUUUGGGUCAUCUUAAUAACCUUUAGGUUUGAAGAGGCUUAAAAUUGACUUUAUGUGCGCAUGUUAGAUGGACAUAUAUUCUUUUUUUUAUUCGUCUUUCUUUAUGCU